UGCCACCCACAGGAGUAACGAGUCCAUGGAGCCACCGCUGCCAUUCAAGCAACAGCAGAGUCCACAGGAAUUUGUCCUCUACCUGGCGAAACGGAUUUUCUUCAUGUAACCGAACCGUGUGGAUCCUGAUAGAGAAAAACAAAGGCCGCCCACACCCCCCACCUCCUCCUUGUUAUGCUGCCAUGAUGACAUCAGAGCCACAGAUCUGAGACUGGCCUGGUCUCCCUCCACCAAGACCUUGAAGAAGCCUUCAACUGUUCCUGUGCCCCUCCCUCUGCAGAAUGCUCUUCACAUGCUGUAUGAUUGUCUGAGCUUCUUUGCCAGGAAUAAAGUUUACUUACAAGA